UCUCCCUGUGUUCAUCUUUAUCAUCUUCAUCAAUUUCAUCUUUUUUACUUUUUCCUUUUUUCUCUCAUCAUCAUUCAACAUCAUCUUUUCAACCUCUGAUGCUACUGAUGAACAUUUUCAUGCUACUUUCUCAUCUUUAUUUAUCUUCUUCGUCUUCUUUCAUCUCUUUCUCAUCUUCUGGCUUGUUACAUAAACAAUCAUCUUGUUCACCUUAACAUCCAUAUAUUUGUUAUAUUAUCUUUAUCAUCCUCAUCAUUUACCUUUACAUUGUUAUUAAUGAUCACCACGUGACAGUGAAUUUUUAUAUUCUCUUGAUGAAAUUAAACUCCAUGUAUGUGAAUCUGUGUUUAUGCAUAUGUUUCACUUACCUGUUCAUUUCUGUAACUGUGAUUAACUGAUUAUUUCAUUUUUUUUUUCUCUCUCUCUAAAUCAUCAUUACCUGUGCACAGAAUUAAUCAACAUCAUCACCAUAAUUUUUUAUUCUUAUUAUUUUCUUUAAUCUUAUUCCUUAAUCUAAUCAACACAUUGCGAUUUAACUGAUAUCGGUUAUCUGUUUACAAGAAAACAGAAAAAAGUUAUCAACGAAUUGGAUAAAUCAUGUUGAUUGAUUGAUCUAAUUGUUAACAUCUUCAGUUAGUUGUAUCUGUUUAUUGUUACAUCAUCUUUUAUCAACAACAAUUUACGAGAUACAAUCAAGUUUAAUUGUCAACAUCUCCAUGUGAUUUACUGGAUUCUUUUUUUUUUCUUAACUUGACAUUUUUAUUUCUAUUAGUUAACCAUUCACACUUUGGUCUUGUUAAUGUCUUCAUUUGUAACUAUCACCAUCAACGACAAUUACAAUUAUGAUGGUAAACAAUUAAGAUCACAGAACUAAUCAAUCUGCCAACAUUAACAUUCAUCUUGAUGGUGUUGAUUGAUUGAUGAUUUAAAGUUUAGUUUUUUUCUUCUUCCUCAUCUUGAUUAUGUUAAUUUACAACAAGAUCAACAAUCAAUGUGUUAAUUAUCCAGCCAAUUUGAUUGACAGGAUCAAAGAUGUUAUCAGGAUUUAAUGUUGAUCAUCCGCUUGGAAAAACCAAUUGAUUAACCAAAUUGAUUAUCUAAAUGAUUGUAAUUGAUUAAUAUCAACACACAAAUUGAUAUUAUUUUCAACAAAUAAUAACACAUGAGAAUUGAUUAUUAUAUAAAUGUAAUAUAUAUUCAUUUGGAUUAUUACUUUGAAGGGAUUUGAAUGAUGAUUAGUGAUACAAAACAAGGGAAUGGUUAAUAUUAAUAUAAUCACAAUCAACAACAAUUUGAAUAAUAAUAAUAAUACAACAAUUACCACUCAGAUUAAUCGUUAUAAUAAUAAGACUCCAACGACAGUUUUUUGGGAAAAGAUAAUCGUUAAUCUGAUUUGAUUAACUCUCAAUGACGACAACCAAUGAUUAUAAUUCAACUUUUGAAUCAAGUGAGACAACGAUAAUUGAUGAUUUAUAUUCAGAGACAAAUUUUGCAACCACUUUGUUGAUAUCAGUUUACGCAACCAUGUUGAUCUGUGUUGUCCUACUUUUUACCCGAAUCAUUUAUAUUGCCAUUGUCCGGUCAUUUAAUCGUCCACUCCGGUCAAAUCCUUCAUUUAUCAUCAGCUCCUCAGAUGGACCAACUUGUAAUGACAGCUGAUUGUAAAUUGAGAUGAUGAUGAUGAUCAUUAUUAACAUGGAAAGUUACAAAGUCUCCAAACUCAAAAUCACCACCAGCAAACUAACAACAACAACAACAACAACAUAACAACAUCAAUAACAACAACGACAACAUGAUGAUGAUAGUUGAUUCUCAUGGAUGAGAAAAAGAAACAAAUUUCUUCUGUCAACUUAAAGUAAUAUCAUGAUGAUUAUCUUCCAUCAUCAUGUUAGUUCCAAGCUGAAUAUUUCUCAUCUUUCUCCUUCACCAUGAUCAUCAUCAUCAUCUCUUUGCCCUUUAGGUUUGCACAUCUUCAAUGAAACAAUUUCUACUCUCUCUCUCUCUCAUACACACUUACAUAAUCUUUGAUGGUGAUUAUUAUUAUGGUGAAGUCCAACCAUUAAAUCAUCAUUAUCAGCAUCAUUAUUUACGCCAUAAUCGUCAUCAUCAUUAUCAUCAAUUGGAUAUAAUAAUAAAAAAAGGUGUCAUCAGAAGCGAGAGGAAGAUAAUCUUUUGCAUCUUCAUCAACAUUAUCAUCAUCACAUUAAACACAAACAUCCUCUGGUCUUCAACAUCAUCAUCAUCAUCAUCAUCAUCAUCUUCAUCUUCAUCAUUUACACACUUUUCUAAGCCUAAUUUUAUAUAUAUCAUCUUCCCUUUAGCAUCUUCAUCUUUAUCCUUAUGCUUGUAAUCACUUUAUUCAUCCAUGAACAUUAAUUAACACCCAAUUGAUUACAAGUUUAAAAUGAUUAAACAAAACAAAAGAGUAACUAAUUUACAAAUAAAUGAAUCUAAGAAACAAAAACAAUAGUGAUUAUCCAAUGAUGACGAUGGUGAUGAUCCUUCAAAAGUCUGUUGUGUCUUUCAAGUUAAUUAAAAACGAAAAAAACCUUAAUUGUGAUGUUAAUUAUAAUCAUGAUUGUGUUAACCCAAACGGAAGGAAAUUAAAGAUUCAUUGUAAUCAUAAUUGAAUAUGGAAUGAAAAUAAAGCUCAACGAUAAAUGGAAAACAAUUAAUUGAUUAAUCAAAUUAACUCUCAGUAAACGAGUAAAAAUCAACUAAUUACUUGACUCAAUCAACUUAAUAAUCAAUGAGAAAUUAAAAUCAAUCGUGAAAACAGUUAAUUAUUACCUUAAAUUGUUAUCAAAAUUUUUUUAUUUGUAACAUUCAUCGUUGAUGAUGAUUAACUAAUUGUUUAAACUAAAUGAUACUCAACAACAAUUUGAUGACCAAAACAAUUAACUAACUAAAUAAAUAUAAUCUUAUAAUUAUUAU